UACGGAGGAUGCGAGCGUUAUCCGGAAUCAUUGGGUUUAAAGGGUGCGUAGGCUGGUAUUUAAGUCAGUGGUGAAAUUUUCGUGCUUAACAUGAGAGCUGCCAUUGAUACUGAGUACCUAGAGUGUAUUUGAUGUGGGCGGAAUGUGUUGUGUAGCGGUGAAAUGCUUAGAUAUGACACAGAACACCGAUAGCGAAGGCAGCUCACAAAGUUACAACUGACGCUGAUGCACGAAAGCGUGGGGAUCAAACAGG
rnacentral:rRNA from 1 species